AGCAGCCGCGGUAAUUCCAGCUCCAAUAGCGUAUAUUAAAGUUGUUGCAGUUAAAAAGCUCGUAGUUGAAUUUCGGGGUUAGUAGGUUGGUCAUGCCUCUGGUAUGUACUGGUCUCACUGAUUCCUCCUUCCUGAUGAACCUUAAUGCCAUUAAUUUGGUGUUUUGGGGAAUUUGGACUAUUACUUUGAAAAAAUUAGAGUGUUUAAAGCAAGCUAACGCUUGAAUACAUUAGCAUGGAAUAAUGAAAUAGGACGUUCGAUCCUAUUUUGUUGGUUUCUAGGAUUGACGUAAUGAUUAAUAGGGAUAGUUGGGGGCAUUAGUAUUCAAUUGCCAGAGGUGAAAUUCUUGGAUUUAUUGAAGACUAACUACUGCGAAAGCAUUUGCCAAGGAUGUUUUCAUUAAUCAAGAACGAAAGUUAGGGGAUCGAAGACGAUCAGAUACCGUCGUAGUCUUAACCAUAAACUAUGCCGACUAGGGAUCGGAUGAUGUUAAUUUUUUAAUGACUCAUUCGGCGCCUUACG
rnacentral:rRNA from 1 species